rnacentral:rRNA from 1 species
AAUCAACGCUGGCGGCGUGCCUAACACAUGCAAGUCGAACGCGAAAAGGGCUUCGGCUCUUAGUAGAGUGGCAAACGGGUGAGUAACACGUGGGUGACCUACCUUCGAAUGGGGGAUAACGUCCCGAAAGGGACGCUAAUACCGCACAACAUCCUGCCUUUGAACAGGUGGAGAUCAAAGCCGGGGAUCGCAAGACCUGGCGUUUGAAGAGGGGCCCGCGUCUGAUUAGCUAGNGGUGAGGUAACGGCUCACCAAGGCGACGAUCAGUAUCCGGCCUGAGAGGGCGGACGGACACACUGGGACUGAGACACGGCCCAGACUCCUACGGGAGGCAGCAGGUGGGGAAUUGUUCGCAAUGGGCGCAAGCCUGACGACGCAACGCCGCGUGGAGGAUGAAGGUCUUCGGAUU